UGGGAGGGUGGUCUAGCUUGGUAUGAUUCCUGGUUUGGGACCAGGAUGGGGGGGGUUCAAAUCCCCCCUCUCCCAU
rnacentral:tRNA from 1 species